GCCUUCGUGGCGCAAUGGUUAGCGCGUUCGGCUGUUAACCGAAAGGUUGGUGGUUCAAGUCCACCCGGGGGCG
rnacentral:tRNA from 1 species